CGCAGCCGCGGUAAUUCCAGCUCCAAUAGCGUAUAUUAAAGUUGUUGCAGUUAAAAAGCUCGUAGUUGAAUUUCGGGGUUAGUAGGUUGGUCGUGCCUCAGGUAUGUACUGAUCUCACUGAUUCCUCCUUCCUGAUGAACCGUAAUGCCAUUAAUUUGGUGUUGCGGGGAAACUGGACUGUUACUUUGAAAAAAUUAGAGUGUUUAAAGCAGGCUAACGCUUGAAUACAUUAGCAUGGAAUAAUGAAAUAGGACGUUCGAUCCUAUUUUGUUGGUUUCUAGGAUUGACGUAAUGAUUAAUAGGGAUAGUUGGGGGCAUUAGUAUUCAAUUGUCAGAGGUGAAAUUCUUGGAUUUAUUGAAGACUAACUACUGCGAAAGCAUCUGCCAAGGAUGUUUUCAUUAAUCAAGAACGAAAGUUAGGGGAUCGAAGACGAUCAGAUACCGUCGUAGUCUUAACCAUAAACUAUGCCGACUAGGAUCGGAUGAUGUUAAUUUUUAAUGACUCAUUCGGCGCCUUACG
rnacentral:rRNA from 1 species